ACGACUCUCGACAACGGAUAUCUCGGCUCUCGCAUCGAUGAAGAACGUAGCGAAAUGCGAUACUUGGUGUGAAUUGCAGAAUCCCGUGAACCAUCGAGUCUUUGAACGCAAGUUGCGCCCGAAGCCAUUAGGCUGAGGGCACGUCUGCCUGGGUGUCA
rnacentral:rRNA from 4 species